GCUAGUGUGGUGUAGCGGUUUGAGCAUUAGUCUACAACUCUGGAGACCAGGGUUCAAAUCCCUAUUUGAGCA
rnacentral:tRNA from 1 species